GGGCAGUGUCGCGGAAGUUAUCGCUGGGCAUUUUAUUUUGAAAAGACGCAAAGCAGUCGUCUUCCUGUUUAGCUGUCUGCUCCGCGGCUGUUUCAUCUGCAUGAUAGAGAAAAUAUCCACGAAGUUUUAAGAGGACGGAAAUGUGCGUCGUGGUAGUGAGGAAGCCAUGACAGACGCGUAGCUUGUGAGAAAACGGCGCCAUUUCCAGCGUUCCUGAGUGUAAAGCUGCUAAAAAAAGCAGCCAGUCCCAUGGGCCCGGUGGCGGUGGUGGUGUUGGUGUGGUUUCCUGCUUAUGUUGUGACGUGAGACAGUUCUCCUCUGCUGUUCUCUACACAUGUACAAAAUGUGAAGAUGGAAUGCUGCUCUGACAAAACUGAAGUCCUCCAGCUCAAGUCUGUGUGGAAAUUCUGUCUGUGGAGCAGAUUUGAUGGUUUUCAGAGGAACAACAGAGUGAAGAACCCUCCUCAUCAUCAGCCAGUUCCUGAGAAUGGAUCCAGCAGCCAUUACCCUGCAGAGCUGUGGAACAGCACAUCAGUAUUUCAAAGGGGAAGAGCGGGUUCACCGUGAGUUCAGUAGCGAGGCUGCUGGGAGGAAGGACGCCACACAUAUGUGACUUUAAAGGUUUAAAAUAACUAAAAAGAUUGAAUCUCCUAACUUUUUUCUAAUCCGCUGUUGCUUAUUAACGUUAAACAGUGCAAUACUUUUUUAUCUUAACUUUGUUAAAAGUAUUUUAUUCACCCUAGAAGUUCAAAUAAAACUGAAUUCACUUGCACGAAGGUCCUAGUGGGAAAAAAAAUCAAAAGAUCCACUUCUCUCCUCUAAUCAUGUUACCUUUUUGAAACAUUGGAGUUUUUAUCCGGACCGUAUCCAGAAUAUUCAUAAUAAUCCCUUCCUGUGAAGUCCUACAGGCCCUACAGCCGCAUUACUACCAUGAAAGUAGCUCCUCUGAGCCGAGUUUAAACCAGCUGACAGGAAAGAUCAUACACGAUCUUUGAGAGAUUUUUUUUCUCAGCUGAGUCUGGACUGGGGAGGGACACAACCUCACCUGCAAAAUAUAGCUUAAAACAUGCAUAGAUACAAUAAAAUGACUAUACUAAAAUAAUAAAUCAAAAAUUACUUUUUAGCCAUGUUUAUUCCAUGAUGACUUUUUUCAUUGUGGUUUUUCAACAUUUCUUUGGUUAAAAAGAAAAGUAGCAAAUUUACAAGUUUCCGGUUCAAUUAAUAAUGUGUUUUUUAUCAUCAUAAAAGAUGCUUUCUUCCAAAUUCCGUAAUUUGCUAAUUUUUUUCAGCGCUCUGAUUACAUUGGUGCCAGUUAUUUAGACUUUUUAUCCGCUGAAAAUAUACUUUAGAAAUACACUGUGAGGCCCGCAGUACCCAUGCUUCAAGGCAGAGGGCGCUGGUGAUCCCAGAGAAUGUGACACUGCAGCUAAAGAAUAUUAGAAUUAGAAGUAGCAGGUCAGUAGCCAUCUAGUUAUUCUUUAUUAUUGUUUAGCAUCAUUUUUAAACGCUCACGAGACUUGAUUGACGACUCACGAGUAAAAGUAAGCCAAUAAUAACGAUGUUGGUCUUUUUUUAAAAUGCUAUAGGUUUUCAAUUAAAUGUUAAAAUGAAACAACAUACUUUAAGUAUUGUUAAUCGAAUGGUAAAUAAGCUACUCUGUAGGGUUCAUAUAUUUGUAAAUCUGACUGAUGAUGUCAGUGCCUCACCAGACGUUACAGUUUUUCUUGGAUGAAAUUACUUUAAAUCAUGAGGAUCCAUUACGUCUCUGGUUGAUCUUGAGAAUAGCUCGGGUGGAUUAGGGGCCAUAAAAAACUAACAAAGAAAAAAUAUUUCUAUAAUAAAUACGCUGUUGAAGGAAAAAUGACAGUAGUUUUUACUAUUUAAUAAUCUCAUGCCUUUUUUAUCAAUUUAUCAAUUAAGAUAAAUGUUUUGUCUGAUAUAGUUUAAAAUCUGAUUUUAUUUGUCUUUGUUUUUAAGUAUGAACAUUUCAAACUAUGAGUUUAUAAUUUAUGAUUACAUUCAUUUGAUAUGCAGAUAAUUUACUCCAAAAUGAUCAAAAUGAUGACAGCGUUUCAGAACCACAAUAUAUAUAUAUUUUUUUUACAUUUUAGGUUUAAACUCUCAGCCUUUAUUUUUGGGGGGAUUUUUCUGUUAGUAAUCGUUAAAUGAAGGAUAGAGGAGCAGCAGAAUGAAUUUCUAUUCUUGUAAAACUUUAACACACAACAAGCAUGAACAAUAGUUGAAAACAGAUUAAAAAUACUAUUAAAAAAAGUGUGGAAUAGGAAGGUUUUGAUGAGAAAAAUCAAAGAAAAAAUCCUCUUUAAGGAGAAAAGUAAUGCAAAUAUGACUCAAAUAUUUUGUAUUUAAACAUUAAAUUCAUUGUAUGAAGAUAACCAGCCAAGCUGUCAGAUUUGCCUGUAAAAAUUAAAUUCUAUAGAUGUCAAAAAUAGAUUUGGACUCGUCUGCCUGAGUAAACACGCUGGCUGGUUUUGUUCACUUUGUGGUUAAUGUUUUAUUUUAAUAACCGUGUUCUCUGUGUGUCUUUUUUCUUCUUUGUCUCUUUGGCCCCAAUAGUUCUGCAUUUAUCUAAUUAGCUUUCAGUGUUUACUUAAUCCUCUUUUUCAUUUUAAUCUGUUCAUUUUCUUUCUUCUCAUUAGUUUUGUCUGCCCUGAUUCAUCCUUUGGGCGAUUUAAUCCUCAUUAUCUCCAGGAUCUUUUUAUUCUUUAAUAAAUGUUUUACUUAUAUUUGGUUAGAGUUGCUGUCUGUCCCUUCAGGUGAAUUUAUUUCACAAAACAUAUUUUUAAAGUCUCAUGAUAAAGUCUUUCUUUUGAUUCACUCAAUUCAAUUCAAUUUUGAGUCACACAUUGAGACACAUUUGUUUAGAAAUACAUUAAUAAUCUGUAUUUAUGUUUUGAAGAUUUUCAUAUUAAUUUG